rnacentral:misc_RNA from 1 species
AGUCGUAACAAGGUUUCCGUAGGUGAACCUGCGGAAGGAUCAUUACUGAGUGCGGGCUGCCUCCGGGCGCCCAACCUCCCACCCGUGAAUACCUAACACUGUUGCUUCGGCGGGGAACCCCCUCGGGGGCGAGCCGCCGGGGACUACUGAACUUCAUGCCUGAGAGUGAUGCAGUCUGAGUCUGAAUAUAAAAUCAGUCAAAACUUUCAACAAUGGAUCUCUUGGUUCCGGCAUCGAUGAAGAACGCAGCGAACUGCGAUAAGUAAUGUGAAUUGCAGAAUUCAGUGAAUCAUCGAGUCUUUGAACGCACAUUGCGCCCCCUGGCAUUCCGGGGGGCAUGCCUGUCCGAGCGUCAUUGCUGCCCAUCAAGCCCGGCUUGUGUGUUGGGUCGUCGUCCCCCCCGGGGGACGGGCCCGAAAGGCAGCGGCGGCACCGUGUCCGGUCCUCGAGCGUAUGGGGCUUUGUCACCCGCUCGACUAGGGCCGGCCGGGCGCCAGCCGACGUCUCCAACCAUUUUUCUUCAGGUUGACCUCGGAUCAGGUAGGGAUACCCGCUGAACUUAAGCAUAUCAAUAA